rnacentral:rRNA from 1 species
UGCCUACGGGGGGCAGCAGUGGGGAAUAUUGCACAAUGGGGGAAACCCUGAUGCAGCAACGCCACGUGAGUGAGGAAGUAUUUCGGUAUGUAAAGCUCUAUCAGCAGGGAAUAGAGAAGAAGGUACCUGACUAAGAAGCCCCGGCUAACUACGUGCCAGCAGCCGCGGUAAUACGUAGGGGGCAAGCGUUAUCCGGAUUUACUGGGUGUAAAGGGAGCGUAGACGGUUAUGCAAGUCUGAAGUGAAAGCCCAGGGCUCAACCAUGGGACUGCUUUGGAAACUGUAAAACUGGA